AGUCGCUGGAUUCGAACUCGAGACCUUUACCUGACAGUGAUGAGCGCCGUGUCAACGCUUAAACGGCCACCGACGCAUGUGAGAAAGCAUCUACCCAACAUAGGUCAACUGGCUGGGAAUGGUGAUCAAAAAGCCUUCUCUGUAACACAUCCCACAUAUGCUCAAUGGGAUUGAGGUCUGGAGGCAAUGGGGGAAGGGGUUGGAUUGGAAAUUCCCAGGAUUAAAAAACAUUGAUGAACAUCUCUGCCUCUCUGAGGCCUGGCAUUGUAAUCCAGAAAUCGAAAAUACAUGUCUAUGAGAUCCCUGGUUUGAGGGAUGUAUUUCACCAUAAUUUCUUAGACAUAUGGACUGAAAUGAGGUUGCCUUCAACAUUAUGAAGUCCAGUUUGUCUUCCAGUGUAAAUCCCAGCCCAAACCAUUACACCGUCUCCACCAAACUGCACUGAAGGGAGCAUGAAAUGGGGCAUUGCAUGGGGCAUCCCCUAUUCUCGGUAGACUAUUUGGCACCUGCUAUCACUAUGCAGACAGAAACGUGACUCAUCAGUAAACAUAACAGGCUUACAAAGUGCUCGUUGCACUAUAUUUUCUUGAAUCGAUGAUGACAGGCUGUUGCUGCAGGUCAUCUCAAAGGGGCAUACAAUUCAUAAUGCUGAGAUCCACUACCAGGCCUCCUAUCGGCACUUCCAGUCUCUCGGAAUUGGGCUAAAGGUCGGGAAACCACACUCUAAGAGACGCCAACUGUCUCUGUAAUAUCCACUUACCUGUGACCUUGAUGACUCAUUCUCACAAUAAUAUUGGAUACUUCUGGUUCAAGAUGAUGUCUUUCCAAAGAGAAUACAACUGGA